CUCAUAAUUGUUGUAUCGAAUCGUAUAUCCCAGUUUCAACUGUACCAAUGAUAGCACAGUCCUAUACUGUUCAUAAGCACUGUUCAUUUCACUGUUCAUACCAGCAGUGGAAUGGCGGUUUUGCCCUCGAGCUGUAUACUAAAGGCCUGAGUUUUGUAUUGUGUUCUAGAAGCUUUACAUUGACUGCACAGCCAGGUACAAACGCUUCGUUCUAUUUUCGGUUUGGUCUCGGUUACAGACGCAGCAUGAAACGGAGGUAUCAACCGUAUCGAUCAAGCUCUCAGAUAUAAAGGUCGCUGGGGUGGGAAAGAGAAGACGAGAGAUCCUGAUUGUGGUUGACUUCCGGAGGAAGGAAUGGUCUUGAAUUCCAGUUGGGGGGUCAUUACUGAAUACAGAGCAAAAGAAUUUGGCAUUUGGUGCUGCUGCUAGCAUGGUACAUCCAGCCACAGGGUACUCAGUAGUGAGAUCUUUGUCGGAGGCUCCAAAAUAUGCUUCUGUGAUUGCAAAGAUUUUGAAGCAGGAUUGUCCUAAGGCCAGUCUUAGCAGUCAAAUAAGAAAUCAGAAUAUCUCAAUGCAAGGUAUA